rnacentral:rRNA from 1 species
UACGGGGGGGGCAAGCGUUGUUCGGAAUUACUGGGCGUAAAGGGCUCGUAGGCGGCCAACUAAGUCAGACGUGAAAUCCCUCGGCUUAACCGGGGAACUGCAUCUGAUACUGGAUGGCUUGAGUUCGGGAGGGGGAUGCGGAAUUCCAGGUGUAGCGGUGAAAUGCGUAGAUAUCUGGAGGAACACCGGUGGCGAAGGCGGCAUCCUGGACCGGCAUUGACGCUGAGGCGCGAAAGCCAGGGGAGCAAACGGG